rnacentral:rRNA from 1 species
UACGUAGGGUGCGAGCGUUGUCCGGAAUUACUGGGCGUAAAGAGCUCGUAGGCGGUGUGUCACGUCGGCCGUGAAAACCUGCAGCUUAACUGUGGGCGUGCGGUCGAUACGGGCAUCACUGGAGUUCGGCAGGGGAGACUGGAAUUCCUGGUGUAGCGGUGAAAUGCGCAGAUAUCAGGAGGAACACCCGUGGCUAAGGCGGCUCUCUAGUACGGUACUGACGCUGAGACGCGAAAGCGUGGGGAGCGAACAGG